CAGAGAAAUUGCCCUUCGGGGUAGAUCUCCCACCCUUUGUUUACAUUACCUUUGUUGCUUUGGCAGGCCCGUCUUUUGACCACCGGCUUUGGCUGGUUCGCGCUUGCCAGAGGACCCUAAACUCUUGAUUUUGUGUUGUCUGAGCAAUAUUAUAAUAAGUUA
rnacentral:misc_RNA from 1 species